UCCUUAAAAAGGUUAUUACUUAUUUCUGUCUUUUAAAAGUUUGAUCGUAAAUCAUUUUUCUUGUAAGUAGAUCAUGAUAUCGUACCAUGUCGUGAGCAUAAUAAAAAAAUUCGAAGGAAUUAAAUAAUCAAAAUGAUUUGCGUGUGGAAUAAGACGAUCACGUUAUUUAAUGUUCGUUACGAGACACAAGUAAGGGGAAAAAUAAAAGAGAAAAGAUGGCUUUUCAUUUAGCUACUGACAAAGUAUCCCUUUCACCUUUCUUAGGUCAACCUUUCUAUCUGUAUGUCGUCGAUGAAAAGAAAUUUCUCUUUCUCCCUCUUUCAAGCGUCCUUUUCUCUCUCAUCCUUCUUGUUUAUUUUUCUGUUGAAAAAGACUUUCGAAUAAUUUAAAGGCACGCGGGAUUUUAUGAUGGAAGUACCAUUGUCGUAUUGCGCGGUAUCGUUGUUGCUGUCAUCUUUCUACCUGUAUCGUCCGCUACAAAUUCGAUCGAUAUUACCUUCCUCUCUUUCUCUAUAGAAAGAGGAACCUAGUCCGACACAAUGAAUAACGUACGAUAAAUGUUGCGUCGGACAACGGUAAAAGGAAAAGAAAAAAGAAAAAAAAAAAGAGA